GACUUUCUCAGGUGAGUGGCACUGGCUGGAGCAUCUCGUCGAAGUCGCUUGUGGUAAAGUCCCAGUGAAGUCAACACGCAGUUUCCCGUGCUGAACAAAUAUUGUGACAGUUAAAUACACCUAUUGAAAAGGCCCAGCUUUCGACGAGGUGGUUCUAUGAUUCUGUUCCUCAAUGUCGUGAACCGGCGACGGGAUAAAAAGAAAUGACCGAUUGUUUCCUCCUGAUUGCAGAAGAGGCCCAGUGGAGAAAUCGCUAAACCUGCUCUAUUACAACAAACAAGCCAUGAACAGGAGUGCGCUGCAGAUUGUCUUAGUAGUACUUACAGCGCAAAAUAUCUUUGACAUAUCUGCAGGGAGGCGGAUUUGGCCUCUCAAUAUAGUUGGGAAAUAUACAUGUCAAUAUGGAUAUUAUGGUAUACCUGAUCAGAUUUGCUUGGACGUGUCUUAUCCCUGCGUUAGUUUGUGUUGUAACGCUGGAAAUUCUCAGUUGGCGAUUAGCGGGUGCCCACUACCGAGUGACUUUGAUAACAGCACUCUUGACGGCCACAAAUAUUGGCCAAAUUGUUGCAAAAGGAGAGCGCAUUUGCCACGACCACACUUUCCUCCAGCGGCUUUGUAUUACGCAUUAGACGGUUCAUGGCGUUACCGCUACGAGAAGUCAACUUAUGAAUAACAUUUACCACAGUUCAAUAAACCUUCAUUCCGUGAA